rnacentral:rRNA from 1 species
UGAGGAAUAUUGGUCAAUGGGCGAGAGCCUGAACCAGCCAAGUAGCGUGCAGGAUGACGGCCCUAUGGGUUGUAAACUGCUUUUAUGUGGGGAUAAAGUGCGUGACGUGUCAUGCAUUGCAGGUACCACAUGAAUAAGGACCGGCUAAUUCCGUGCCAGCAGCCGCGGUAAUACGGAAGGUCCGGGCGUUAUCCGGAUUUAUUGGGUUUAAAGGGAGCGUAGGCUGUCUAUUAAGCGUGUUGUGAAAUAUACUGGCUCAACCGGUGGCUUGCAGCGCGAACUGGUCGACUUGAGUAUGCAGGAAGUAGGCGGAAUUCAUGGUGUAGCGGUGAAAUGCUUAGAUAUCAUGACGAACUCCGAUUGCGCAGGCAGCUUACUGUAGCAUAACUGACGCUGAUGCUCGAAAGUGCGGGUAUCAAACAGG